UGAAUUUUUUUCUAAGUUUGUAAUUUUUUUUCAAAACAGCAUUUAUUUUCGCUUAAUGAGGGGGUGCGGCCUUUGACUGACAGGUGAUGAUCGCGGUGGAUUCUGGGAGCUGUGCUCCGGUGUUUAGCUGUCAGAUUUAGCGUUAGCAUGAGCGCUAGAUUUUGGUUUUUGUCCUGCUGCCGUGCUGUAAACUGUUCUAAUACGCUCUCUGGGAGUCAUCUGGUGUCUUUUCUCCGGUCUGCUUCUGGUGGUGAGCGGAUUUAUAAUCCAAAACAAUCCAACAUUUACAUUUAAAGGCAGUAAAAUUCUAAUUUUAACAUAUGAAGAUGACUCUUGCUGAUGUGAUUCAAUAAAAAUCAUGUUUAACAUA